AGAGGUGGUUGCGGACGUUGAGGUGCCAGAUCCGUUGGCGGCGAGGGACUUAGUGGCGACAGACAUGGCUGGCGCCGAUUCCUCAUGCGCGGUUGUGGUUGGGCACCUCGGCGGAGCUGCUGAGCCCCGGGAUUCUGGCGGCAAGAGGAAACAGUAGUCAACCCAGUCCGUGGAAUCGACCGGGAAAGUGAACCCGGAGGCGCCCAGGUCGACCAGAAGACAACAGAGAUUGGAGGUAUGCGCUGGGCUCUUUGACACAAGCUAGGGAGGAGUAAGCUGACUGGAUAAUGAGAAAUGUUGAAGUAGUCCAAGGAGGAAUGACACACUGGCUGUGUGUGUGAUGACCUUAACUCUGAAAACUGCAAGUUUAACCUGCUCUGAAAUCUCAGAGUUUGUUAGAAGAAACUAUAUUGUUGAUGUGGCUCUUUCACAGUUUUCAUUUCUAAUAAAAUGUGAAGGUGCAACUAUCCUGAAGAAUGAUUAUGUAAAAAGAAAGUUGUAUCAGCAUCGAAGUGAAGAACUGGUGCGGCAGAGCGCACCUUUCCUUCUUGUAAUGAUACCAUGUCCAGUGAAUGCAACACCUAAAACGUCUGCAUAUAAAAUUGCAGUUCGUGGCCGUGCACCUCUUGAUACAGCACCUUGUCCUGGUAGAGUCAGUCCGCUGGAAGAAAUGAUCAGGAGGUAUGCUGAUAAGCCCAUCCGAUAA
rnacentral:rRNA from 1 species